GCUCGAAAUUUAUCCCAAAACACUCAAUAAAACAACAAAAAAGCAAGAAUUCAAUUAUUCAAUACCAUUUUUAAUAUUAGAAGCUUUCAGAAUCUAAGACUUUUCUUCAAAUGACAACAAAUGCCAAAAACCCAUCAAAUAUUAUUGUCGCUAUUUUGAAUUUUUUAUGAAAUUUCCAAAUAAAAUCUCACAAAUCACAGAUCAUUAAAUAAAUCUCACAAAUCACAGAUCAUAAUUCAACAAAUCACACUGAUGAUCCAUCACAAAUCAAAAAUUACAAAUCAUAGUUCGAAUAAUGAGAUACAGCAAUAGAUUUGGAAUUAAGAAUAAUUUAAAUCAAGAGCUUUAGCUAAACACUCUUAAUUAAAGGUUUGAAUACCUAAUAAGGCAUUUUAGCAAACAUGUCGUGGGCAUACAACUAAUAAGAAGAAACUCAAAUGCAAAUAAACAAAUUUAACUAAUCAAAACACAGUAAUGAGUUUCUGCUAGUGUUACUUAAAAAUCCAAUUGCAGCCAACAGCUUACAGCACGCAUAGAGAGGGAGUGAGAGAUCAGCAGAACAAUGAACACGAGCUCUCUUCAACAGGUUCUUCAACGGUUCGCAAUGGAUUCUUCUUCAAUAGGAGUAGUCAGUAACAGAAUCUAAACGAAUAACACAACGAUUUUCCAAGGAAGUUAAAAAGGGUUUUGAUCUCCCAACGGGUUCUUGGUUCCGUUAGAGCAUUAGCAUCAAUCGUACGAAAAAUUCUAUGCUUAUAAUUUAUGAAUGUCAUGGUUAGCUCUAACGAUUUAUUUGGUCAAUCCUAAACUUUUUACAAGAAUUAUUAGUUUUGCGGAGAGUUAGUUGGAUCAGAUAUAAAAUUUGGCAGUUCAAAAUCCCACGAAAGAGGGAGAAACUGAGAAUUUUCACUUCUAACGCUAAUUUUUAACGACUGGGGCUUAUUUUAAAAAGUGAUAAUUUUACUCAAUUGUGUUGUGUUAU
rnacentral:lncRNA from 1 species